GGGGAUGUGGCUCAGUGGUAGAGCCUCUGCUCUGCAAGCAAAAGGUCCCAGGUUCAAUUCCCGGCAUCUCCA